rnacentral:rRNA from 1 species
ACGAAGGGUGCGAGCGUUGUUCGGAGUCACUGGGCGUAAAGGGCGCGUAGGCGGUUAUCCAAGUUAGGUGUGAAAGCCCUGGGCUCAACCCGGGAAUUGCACUUGAUACUGGAUGGCUAGAGAGAGGAAGAGGAUAGCGGAAUUCCUAGUGUAGAGGUGAAAUUCGUAGAUAUUAGGAAGAACACCAGUGGCGAAGGCGGCUAUCUGGUCCUUUUCUGACGCUGAGGCGCGAAAGCGUGGGGAGCAAACAG